rnacentral:misc_RNA from 1 species
UUAAAGAAAAGAAAAGAAAAGAGAGGAAAAACCAACAAGAGGACAAUCCUGGAUCAGUAGAUCCAACUCCAUACACCCAGCCUAUGAAACUAUGCCUCUUGUUGAUGAAAAAACCCCUCAAAAUAGCAUAAACAACAAAAGAAAUAUUACAUGCAAGCCACAAAGUUAUCUGGUCUAUCCCUGCCUAAUUUAGCCAAACAAUCAGCAAAACCAUUUAAUUCACGGGAGCAGAAGACAAAAGAACUAUUUGGUAGACGUGGAAUCAAAUUUAGAGCGCUUUUAAUAAGAUUGUCAAGCUUCCAUCGACCACAGGAAGAACCCAAAAUCCACGCAAGAGCAUUAGAAGAGUCAAACUCAAAAAUAAAACCAGCCCAUUCAUUAAAGGAAGUAAAUCAAUGGAUAAAGACAAGGCCUUAUGUAUAGCCCAAAGCUCAGCUUCGUUAGAUUCCAGUAAACUUGAAAGGCAUGAAAAAGAGACAAAUGAUAGAGCCAUUAUGAUCAUGAAGGACGCCUCCAAUUCCACUAAGACCUGGCUUACCAAUGGAAGAGCCAUCCGUAUUGCAUUUGGGAAUAUUUGUGAGAGGAGGAGACCAUGUAGUAGCCAUCCUUCUUUUUCCAGCAUUCUUCCAUAAUUUGAUUGAGUCAGCUUCUUGAGAUAAUUGUAGACUGGAGUAAGGAAAGAAAUUAUCCAUAUAUUUCAUCCACACAGAGACCCUGAAGAAAAUGGUGACUAGACUAAAUCGAUUAUCCGCAUUCAAAUCUCAAAAUCUCCAAAUCUCUAAGAUUAGAAGAAGAAGAAGAUCAGUUAGGGAGAGGGAAGAAUAAGUAGCAAGUAGCAACAAGAGAAGGGGAAGGAUAAGCAAAACAUGAGGUGAGGAGGCUCCUUAAAGGCCUAAAUGACGAGAGA